UAAGCAGCAGAACGGCCCCUAGUCCAGUCACUUCCCACACAGAGGUCACUUCCGGUUCCGGGAGGUGCCAUGGUGUCAGCUGGGAGCAGCCUGGGAGUCCGGACAGAUGGGUGAGGCCACGACUGGAGACUCUGAACUCAGCUGCUCCCUCCUCAGCAUGUAGGCCUAGAUUCUGGUGUGGGAGCUGGAGAGGAGAGCAGAGGAGCUGCUGGGAUCGCGGGUGGCGCUGCUGUGGCUGCUGCUGCUCUAAAAUCAUCAGACAAUGCUUCCAGGGCACUGAGGAGCUGCCUCCCCCACCUCCAGCUACUGGACAUGAGCAGGGAACCGAUCAUUGGGAUGGAACCCGAGCUCCUGUGGCUGCUGCUGCCCCACAGCCAAGCAUCUGACAUCCCUGCCAGGGAGGUGAGCAGCAGCCUCCCCCACCUCCAGCUCCUGGACAAGAGCAGGGAGCAGCUCAUGGCCCUGGGACCCCAGCUGCUGACUCAGAGCAUCCUGAGCAUGCUGAUGGACAGGAACAACAGGCUUGACAACACAGGCUUGCUGCUGGAGGGACUUGCCCUGUCUCUACUCUGUCUCAGACUCCAGAAUGCUCUCCCCCCACUGCCCCCGCAGCUGUGCUCACACAGCUCCACAUCCCAGAGUUUGUCUGAAUCAGAAGAUGAAGCCAGUGAUCCUGUACAGAGAAUGCAAAAUGUUCUUCUUGGUUGACAACUUUGGGUUUACACAAACGAAAGCAAAGCAAAGAUGUAUAAAUGAAAAUGGAGCUUGAAUUUGAUUAUAAAGCUCAGUGGUUUCAGCUUGAAUGUCCAUGUAAGACUUACAAAGAUUUGAAAGGUUUUGCAUUUCAUGUAUUUGUUCAGUAUGAUUGAAUUCAGUUUCGUGUUUAGAUUCUUUGAAUAUAAUUUAUUGUAAAUAGCAGUUCAAAAUUUAGCUGGUUAGUCACAAUUUUCACUUAAGUCUUUGAUGUGAAGCUAAUAGAAUGGUAUGUUUGCUUGACAAGUCAUAAUCAGCCUGGUGUGGUGUCAUCUGACACACUUGGGUUGAGGAAAGUAAGACAUCAUGACACUUGUACUACCAGAGUUGUUCUGUUUUGCCUGAAAUAUUUGUCAUAAAUAGAAUGAUCCUUUGCCAUGGGUCACCCCUGGGCUUCAGCCAAUGACUAACAGUAUAUAAAUGAUUAUCACUUCUAAAUGGUGUAUUUAACCUUCAGUUCUUGUUUUGUUUUAUUUUACUAACUUUAUGCAAUCUAUGUGUGACUAGUUACAGUCCCUUCUAGCAGGGAUAUAGAGGCUUAUUCUAGCGAUGAUUUUAGAACAAACUACAACCUUGGGAACAUACUUUUGCAGACUAGGUAAUCAACUGUAUAUAUAAUCCCUGAAUCCCACAGGCCUGAAACUCUUCAUGUAGAAUUUGCUGACCAUGAACUCUGAGAAAGACCUUUCUGUACCUCCUGGUGAUGGCAUUACAGACAUGCAAGACAACCUACUUACAUUUUAUUUUAACUUCAUUUUGUUAACUGCAAUGAUCUCUUGUAAUCAUGCCCUUGGGAUUUCUGGGAGGCUAGAGUCAUGAUACAUCAACUUCCCAGUGGACAGAAAACUGUUAUUGCCAGAAAAAUCUAAUGUCGAGUAAUCUAAGAGAGUUUGGUUCCUAAUAGUCAACUAAAUGAGGGAAAGGUGGAUAUGAUUGAGCACACAUACAAACAAGCACUUGGGAGGUAGAGGCAGAAUAUGAGGAGUUCAAAAUUAGCAUAGGCAUUAUAGUACAGUUGAAGCCAGCCAGAUAUAUGUCCCUGAAACCUUGUCUAAAAGUCGGGGUAAGUUUGGGUGGGAUGGAUUAUAACUUCCAAAUGUGUUUGCUUGUGUUGUAUACUAAAUGCAAAGUUUCUCUGCACUUGAUAGAGUAACUACAACUAGACAUCAUUACAGUUGAAGGUAGUCAGAAGUAAAGCUUCUUGUAUCCAUUCACAAUAUGGUUUAACUACUGAACAUUAAGAAAGUAGUAUUGAUAAAUGAAAAUACUAAUGCAAUAUAUCCUUAAAGUAUGCAGAAAAAUGGUAGCACAAAUAUUGUCAUUGAAGAUUAACAAAUUAUACUAUUGGAUUAUGCAAUAAAAAACUAAUACUAAUAAUUUAAUUGGGGAUUAAUAAAUAAAUAUUUAACUCUCAAUGCUGAGGAUUAUAAAACAGAACUGUAGUAAGAUUAAGACUGGUUGGUAAGAACUAAAGGAAGCUUUAGUUUGCAUUAGGUUGUUAGGUGAGCAUUUAGAAGCAUGCUUUGUUAGAAUCCAGUUAUAUGCUGAGAAUAUUUGCAUGUUUGUUUUCAGAUAUAUAUAUAUAUAUAUAUAUAAUUUUAUUUUAUUUAUUUGCUGAUCUUAGGAGUUUUUAUUAGUAGUCUAUGUGGUAAUUCAGGUUUUGUGUGUGUAUGUGUUAUGUCAUGAAACAGGAGUUUCAUGACUGCAGUUGUGAAACGCUGCUAUAGUGUGUCCCCUUACCUUUUCCUCAUAAUAGUGUAGUAAGAUCAUUUUUAUUUUUCUUUUUUUGAGAUUUUCUUCUGUGUUUACAGAAGUAAUGUUUCUUCUGCAAAUGUAUUUUAUGAUAGUAGUUAUAAAGUUGUUUUUCUUCACAGUGAGCAACAUUAAGCUGCCUAUUCCAAAAUUAGGAGAGGCAGAUAUGAAUUCACGGGUUCCCAUGUAUAAAACUGUCAAUAUUUCAUAGUUAGAUGACUUUAGUUAUGCAACAUAGAAUAUUUACAUGUGAAACAUUCAGAAUGAUGGGGCCAUCCACUCCUGGAUUAAAUCCUGUAGUUUCUUGAUUGAUAAAUAUCCUAACCUACGUGUACGUAAUAACGUGAGUAAUCUUUUAGGACUUAAUUGUAAAUAGAGCAUCUAACACUUUCAGCCUCAUAGAAAGAGUUGUACUGUUUCCUCAUUCAUAAAUGUAUAUAUUCCAGCCUGUGACAUAUAAAAGUAUCCUUUAGUUGUCUUUCACAAAAUGUUCAUUGUGCUUUCUUUUAUGUGUAUGAUUAAACUCUGUGAAUAGCAUGACAAAUCAGUAGUUUCGGCAGAGAUGUGGAUUAUAAGGACAGAUGCAGUACCUUGUACCUCUUGAGUGAACAAUUGUCCAAGCCUAUAGCAUAGAUUUUCAUUAGUGCAAUUUCAUUGUUAGUUAUUUUAUCUUUAUUUUUUAUUUUUUUAUCCAUUUAAUACUUCUGUGGCCCUAUCUGUAACAAAUGCUGCCAACGAUUCCUAUUUUUUUAUUUUACAUGCUUUUUCUAUUUUUAAAAACUGACUAUAGAUAUUAAUUUGGAGAGAAAGGAAUUAGAUCCCAUGUAAAUAAAAUUUAUUUUAAGAUGCAGGCUUUCUUGCUAGUUACAAAUACUAUAUUUAUCCACCAAUGAAAUCUUGGAGUUUCAGAUUCAGCAAGUGGGCAAUUUUCAUAAUAUGGCUAUUUUAUUUUCUGAGACAGGGGAGUACUAACCUUGAACUAGACAUGUAGGCAACUCUGUCCUUUUUGUAAUACUUGUGCCUGGAAUUCUCAGACAUGGGGAUCACAUGUAUAAACCAUUAGCCUGGCUAAAUAUUUUACUUAGAAAUGUACCAAAGCUGCCUCUUGCUAAAAAUUUUGAUUUAUAAAUGAUCCUUUCCAAAAUAAAAAAGUAUACUAUAAAUUGAUUUCAAUUUUGAGAAAUUUGGGUAGUAUAAAAAAAUAAAGGUAGUCCUCAUUAGGACAAGCCUUUAUUGCGGAGUAGUUUCAACACAGAGUGGAAAUAGAGGGUUAAAAUGAAGACUCAUGAAGAGACUGUUUGCAGGAAUGUUAAUUAAAAUAUAUCAUUAAAGGCAGCAAAGUAGAAUAGAAGUCAUUUUCCAGGGAAUCCAAUGAUCUAAUACAGCUCUGUAGAGUAAUAAGGAGUUACCUUAAAUUGAUUCUUCAAAUUUCCUACAACUAAUAUCUAAAACACUUAUCAAUAAGUUUAUGACUACCAUUUUUUUAUUGAGUCCUCCCUGCUAUUCCGUUGCUCCCUACACAGCAGAACAAUUUAGCUGUAGGCUUUCUUUAAGUCUUGCUCUUUCAGAGUUACUAUUGGAAAGUAGUUCUUUUUGGCCUGGUUCAUAAUACAGCAGGGAAGCCUUAGUUAAUGUUUACCUUUUGGUUGCCUUUUUAAAAAAUUGCACAUUAAAUUUUAGUCAUUCAUAUUUACCUAAAAACGUAUGAUUAACCUUUACGUUUUCAUGUGAGUGCCUGCAGAUACAAUGUUACAAAUAAAAGUAUAUGUAUAGGUCAUCAGGUGAUCAUUUAAAGGGUGCUUUGUUAGAAUCCAGUUGUAUGCUAAAAAUAUUUGAAUGUUAGGUUUCUUAUAUGUAUGUAAUUUUUAUUUAAGUUUCUUGUUUUAGGAGAUUAUAUUAGUAGACUGUAUGGUAAUUUAGGAUUUGUGUGUCCUUAUGUUAUUUCAUGAAACAGGAGUUUCAUGACUGCAGUUGUGAAAUGCUGCUAUAGUGAGUCCCCUUACCUUUUCCUCAGAAUAGUUUAGUAAGAUCAUUUUUACUUUUUUUAAGAGAUUUUUUUCUGUGUUUAUAAAAUGAUGUUUCUACUGCUAAUGUAAUUUUAUGAUAGUAGUUAUAAAGUUUUUUUUUCACACUGAGCAUCAUUAAGCUGCCUAUUCCAAGCUUAGGAAAGGCAUAGAUGACUUCACGGGUUCCCACGUAUCAAACUGUAAAUAGUUUGUAAUUAUAUGACUUUAGUUAAGCAACAUAGAAUGUUUUCAAAGAAAACAUUCAGAAUGAUGGGGCCGUACACUCCUGGAUUAAAUCCUGUAGUGUCUUGAUUGAUAAUCAUCCUUACCUAAGUAAUAACAUGUGUGGUCUUAUAGGAAUUACUUGUAAAUAGCCUUGUAAAUAGAGCAUCUAACCAUACAUAUCCUUUCUACGCUCCUAGACAUAGGUAUACUGUUUUUUUCUUUCAUAAAAGUAGAUAUUCUAUCCUAUGUCAUACAAAUAUUUGAUAUAGUGUGCUUUCAACAAAGUGUUUAUUGUGAAUUUUUAUGCUUCUAGUUUAAACUGUGUAAAUAGUGUGCCAAAUAAGACUUUUUGCCAGAAAUGGUGAUUAUAGAGAUAGAUCCAGGGUGUUGUAUUUGUUGAGAAAGCUACCAUUUAUGCCUAAUAUUGAUAGUUUUUAGUGAAAUCAUCAUUUUUAGCUCUUUAAUUUUUUGUUAUUUUUUAUCUUUUUAUUCAUUUUGGCAUUAACAUUCUGCAAAUGAUUGCUAAGUUUUUUUCUUUUUCAAACAGUAUUCGUUUAAAAAAGAACUGAGUAUAGACAUUAUGUGAUGAGAUGGGAAUUGGUCACCUCGAUAUAUGAUUGUCUUCUUAAGACAUCAUUUUAUAUCAAAGUGGAAGAUAGGUAUCAAAGAAAGUCAUUGUGGAUUGUGCCUUUGACAUGGGAGGACUAGCAAUUUGGACAAGAAACUUGCCUUAAUGGAUUGCUGACAGCAAGUUCUCAAAACUGAACAAGAAUUUUACAAUGAAAAGUGACUGCUGAACUUUCCAAAUUUCAUGACUAUUCUUCAUUAACCUGUUUUAUCAAAAAGUCUGUCAGACAUCUGGGACUAUAAGCUGAAGAGGGAUUCCACAAAUUUGCAGAGGAUCCUUGGAUGACUUUCUAGGCAUCAAUAUCUCUUUGUAAAAUCUAGAGCUUAUAUAUGAUCUUCUGGAUUCUUUCGUGUUGUUGAAGACAGAUAGUUAUGGUUAUGAAUUUCCUUAGUUAUGUAAUAAAUAAGUUGCAUAUAAAGCUUUAAAGUAACAAAGAUAGGAACUAUGUAGAAUGGUUUCUUUAAAUUUGCAAAAUACUAUUGAUCUAAAUAUUGUUAACUGUACUUUUUUGCUUAUUAAGUUUUCUAAUGCAUAAUUGUACCAUUUUAAAUUUAAACUUCCUUGUUUUUCCAGACACAAAGAGCACAUGAUGUGGGAUUUCCUUCUGUAUGAUGUGACUAUAUGUUUCUCUUCCUUGUGGAGGAAAAAUGUGAGGCAGGAUAUAGCAAGGGAGAAUGUAUAGGCAAUAUAAACUGAGAAGGGAAUUCAGAGAAUAACACGUAUUGUAAGUCUUGAGACAGCUCUAAUUAAUGUAGCUGCUGGAAAGUUAGAUUGUCUGGUCAUUUUCUAGUAAGACAAAACAACUUGGAGAUUCACUGAUUAGUUCAAAUGGUUAGUAAUUACAGGGAACUAGCCAAUGUAUCCUGUGCCAAAGAAUAAAUAGAAUAUAUUUUAUAUAACCCUCUGUGUGUUUAUUUGGGACUGUAGUGUGACAGAAUCAAGAUGAACACUAACUUCUGCCUACGCAUUGUUGUUAGUGGAAAAUAUUAUUGAUUUGAUUUGUUUUGUGAACAUGGAUGGUAGAGAAUUCUUUUUCUCACAGUUCACAUAGUCGGCAUUGUGUUCCUGAGUAACAGUGCUGACCUCAAUAAUCACUUUCAAAAUUAUAUGCAUACUUGCAUUGUGGAUUUUUUGUAUCCUUUCCCUAAUUAUUUUUUGCUAGCAACAACAAAAUGGGCUACAUAAACAGCCUUAGCUUUUAUAAAUUUGGGCGUUCAGUACCAACAAAUGUGGCUGAAAACAUUACUUUAAUUUGGUCAAAUUAUUAUGUAUGCUCUGACUUAUUUAAUUUUCGGGACCUAAAAUCAUAUGUGUUUCACAAGGCUAUGUAAGUGUAUAUGAAAUUAAAAUGUAACUAUGAAAUAUAAAUCAGUGAUGGAAUUUGCUAUUUUGAAAAAAUAUAUUCCUAUUGUAUCAAGUUAUGUUAUGUUGUAAUGGCAAAUAUUCUAAGAAUCAUUUUUAAACUAUUGAAGUUCUUGUUCCUCAUUAUCAAAAUGACAUGAAAAACCAUGGUCUUAUAUUAGCUAUGUAUACCCAAAGAAUUUUGCCUUAAAUGUUGUACAUUGUCUUAUUAGACUCAAAAAAUCUUACAGAAAUUUACUGAAAACGUAAUAAAUUAUGUGAGCAUA